GACGAACGCUGGCGGCGUGCUUAACACAUGCAAGUCGAACGGAAAGGCCCUGCUUUUGUGGGGUGCUCGAGUGGCGAACGGGUGAGUAACACGUGAGUAACCUGCCCUUGACUUUGGGAUAACUUCAGGAAACUGGGGCUAAUACCGGAUAGGAGCUCCUGCUGCAUGGUGGGGGUUGGAAAGUUUGGGCGGUUGGGGAUGGACGCGCGGCUUAUCAGCUUGUUGGUGGGGUAGUGGCUUACCAAGGCUUGGACGGGUAGCCGGCCUGAGAGGGUGACCGGCCACAUUGGGACUGGGAUACGGCCCAGACGCCUACGGGAGGCAGCAGUGGGGAAUAUUGGACAAUGGGCGGAAGCCUGAUGCAGCAACGCCGCGUGCGGGAUGACGGCCUUCGGGUUGUAAACCGCUUUCGCCUGUGACGAAGCGUGAGUGACGGUAAUGGGGAAAGAAGCACCGGCUAACUACGU
rnacentral:rRNA from 1 species